rnacentral:rRNA from 1 species
AAUCAACGCUGGCGGCGUGCCUAACACAUGCAAGUCGAACGCGAAAGUCCCGCAAGGGGCAAGUAGAGUGGCAAACGGGUGAGUAACACGUGGGUUGACCUGCCUUCGAGUGGGGGAUAACGUCCCGAAAGGGACGCUAAUACCGCAUGACAUCCUGCUUUUGGAAAAGCGGAGAUCAAAGCCGGGGAUCGCAAGACCUGGCGCUCGAAGAGGGGCCCGCGCCUGAUUAGCUAGUUGGGAGGUAACGGCCUCAC